AUGAAGGAGGAUGGGCGGAGGUUACAGAGUUGGACUGAAAUUGAUGGAGGAUGGUUUAUGGUGAUGGUGAUGAAAAGCGAUUGGGGAGUGAAAGAUGGUGGACUGAAGGAGGGUGAGGGACGAAAUUGCAGGUUCGUUGGUGUUGUUGUUAAGGAGAAAGAAGCGAGGUGGGAGGGUAGCAAGUGUGGAGUCCGGUUCAGCAACGAAGGUGGUUGUUCGUCGGAGGGAUUUCCGGUUGAGGUUGUUAGAAUAAUAACUGGAAAAAAAUAUAUGGUAAUUUGUGAAUCUUCUUGCUAUGCUGCUUUUUGA